rnacentral:rRNA from 1 species
CCUACGGGGGGCAGCAGUAGGGAAUAUUGCUCAAUGGGGGAAACCCUGAAGCAUCACCGCCGCUUGUAUUCUUCCUUUUUUCUUCUUUUCCCCUCCUUUUUUUCUCUCCUCUCAUGACGGUAUCUAACGAAUAAGCACCGGCUAACUCCGUGCCAGCAGCCGCGGUAAUACGGAGGGUGCAAGCGUUACUCGGAAUCACUGGGCGUAAAGAGCGCGUAGGCGGGAUAGCAAGUCAGAUGUGAAAUCCUAUGGCUUAACCAUAGAACUGCAUUUGAAACUGUUAUUCUAGAGUAUGGGAGAGGUAGGUGGAAUUCUUGGUGUAGGGGUAAAAUCCGUAGAGAUCAAGAGGAAUACUCAUUGCGAAGGCGACCUGCUAGAACAUAACUGACGCUGAUGCGCGAAAGCGUGGGGAGCAAACAGGAUUAGAUAAAAAGGUAGUC